AGGGUACAUAACAUGUCUAAAAUAUUGUCGUCGCUAAAUACAAAGUGAUGGGCAAAGAAAAAAAUGGAUGAAGAUCAGGAAAGUACUGCCAAGUGAUAGGUAUUGUUCUGGACAAGACAAGGUCUAGGCAUUGUUGGUGUGGACUUGUUUUAGGAUGAUGACCUUCAUCUAAUCAAGGCCACCAUCUAUCUCUGUAGCGGUCUACUUCCAAAGGCGGCGACUUGGUAGUGCAGUGGACAUCAAAAGGGCAGAGGCUUAUUGACAAAAAAGGGCAUUUUUCAAGAAUCGUAGGACAAAACUGUUUUUUUAGGGGAGAGGU